GACUCCUCAAUUUGUAUGUUGCUUUGGACAAAAGCAUCUGCUAAAUGACUAAAU
rfam:Danio rerio chromosome 3, GRCz11 reference primary assembly.